UACGGAGGGAGCUAGCGUUGUUCGGAAUUACUGGGCGUAAAGCGCACGUAGGCGGUUAUUUAAGUCAGGGGUGAAAGCCCAGUGCUCAACACUGGAACUGCCCUUGAGACUGGAUAACUUGAAUCCAGGAGAGGUGAGUGGAAUUCCGAGUGUAGAGGUGAAAUUCGUAGAUAUUCGGAGGAACACCGAUGGCGAAGGCAAUCCCCUGGGCCUGCACUGACG
rnacentral:rRNA from 1 species